rnacentral:rRNA from 1 species
CCAAUAGCGUAUAUUAAAGUUGUUGCAGUUAAAAAGCUCGUAGUUGAACUUCGGGAUCAAUGGGUCGGUCAUGCCGUCGGUAUGUACUGAUUUUAUUGGUUCUCACCUUCUAAGGAACCGUAAUGUCAUUAAUUUGAUGUUGCGGGGAAUUAGGACUGUUACCUUGAAAAAAUUAGAGUGUUUAAAGCAGGCUAACGCUUGAAUACAUUAGCAUGGACUAAUGAAGUAGGACAUCAGAUUCUAUUUUGUUGGUUUCUAGGAUCGAUGUAAUGAUUAAUAGGGAUAGUUGGGGGCAUUAGUAUUCAAUUGUCAGAGGUGAAAUUCUUGGAUUUAUUGAAGACUAACUACUGCGAAAGCAUUUGCCAAGGAUGUUUUCAUUAAUCAAGAACGAAAGUUAGGGGAUCGAAGACGAUCAGAUACCGUCGUAGUCUUAACCAUAAACUAUGCCGACUAGGGAUCGGAUGAUGUUAAUUUUUUAAUGACUCAUUCGGCACCUUACG